GGAAGUUCUUUGUUUGUAAAGGCCCAAACUUGGAGAUCCCUGCAUUAGCCCCCUAUCUGAGAACCCGAGUCAGAGGACACAGGUUCAAGCAUCUGCUGCUCCUCCAGCCAAGGUCCUGGAAGGAAAGAUGUGUGGAACUACCUGGAGCAGAACUGCUGCAGCCCAGCUACAUACCCAUAAGUGAGACAGUGGGAUGUGUUUGUUGUCCUUUUCUAGAAGUCUGUGGAAAUAAAAUUCUAAUUAUUGCCAUCCAAAUUCGUGAACUUCCAGAAUUCUGUCCAUAUUCUCCAGGUAAGAACUGCUAAUCCAGAGCAUCACGAGCAUUUGAAGAUGUUAAGCAGGGAGUGAAAUGAUCCAAUUUACUUUAAAUAGAGCCCUGUCUACAUAGGAAGCCACAUGGAACUGUUUGU